rnacentral:lncRNA from 1 species
AAGCACUACCACCGCCCUGGCCGCGGCGGAGGCUGCGGCGGCUGCUGCUGCCUAUUCACCCUUUUGAUCAAAAUCAUCGUCUCCGCCGUGUUGAUCCUUGGCCUCGCAGCCUUGAUCGUAUGGCUCAUAUUCCGCCCCAUCAACAAGGUCAAGUUCCACGUCACCGAUGCCUCUCUCACUGAAUUCAACCUCACUUCCAACAACAACCUCAACUACAAGCUUGCCCUUAACAUCACCAUCAGAAACCCUAACAAAAAGAUCGGCGUACACUACGACCGCAUCGAAGCUAGGGUUUACU